UACAGAGGUGGCAAGCGUUGUUCGGAAUUACUGGGCGUAAAGGGCGCGUAGGCGGCUCGCUAAGUCCCGUGUGAAAUCCCUCGGCUCAACUGAGGAAUGGCACGGGAAACUGGCGGGCUUGAGUUUGGGAGAGGGAAGCGGAAUUCCGGGUGUAGCGGUGAAAUGCGUAGAUAUCCGGAGGAACACCGGUGGCGAAGGCGGCUUCCUGGACCAAAACUGACGCUGAGGCGCGAAAGCUAGGGGAGCAAACGGG
rnacentral:rRNA from 1 species